rnacentral:misc_RNA from 1 species
UUUAAUAUUUAACCAAUUUGCCUAACUUACUCGUAAAUUUGAAUUUACAUUAAUUAAUUUUUAGUGAAUAACUAUUUUACAAAAUUGACUACCCAAAGAUGCCAGUUAUAUUGUGUUUAGGGUGUUAAAAAAAAAAAAAAACAUGGUCAAUUUGUAUUUUUGCAUGUAGAGGUUUGCCACAAAUAACUAAACAAUGACUACUACAUGCAUAAAAUUGAGUUUUGU